rfam:Cricetulus griseus cell line CHO-K1, whole genome shotgun sequence.
GGAAGUAGGGCUAAUCCGGCUGAGACAUUUGUUACCCACUGAUUACCAGGACUGAUCUGCUGGUCUGGCAGUCGUCCCCUUCCUCCCUCACCAUCGUGUAUGCUCUGGUUGCCCAUCCUUGACAGAAGAAACUAGUCUUUGUCUCACGUAGAUGAGAAGCUCCCCUUGCUGGAACCUCCAAAUUAGCCUCCAAAGUCCAUUUGUAGGAGACAGAGGCAAGUCAGACUUGCAAGACUGCAGACACACCAGAUGAGGCACUGCAUGUGACUGAUUUUUGUU